rnacentral:tRNA from 1 species
GGGCUUGUGGCGGAACUGGUAGACGCGACGGACUUAAAAUCCGUUGGCCGCAAGGCCGUGUGGGUUCGAUUCCCACCAUGCCCA